rnacentral:rRNA from 1 species
GACGAACGCUGGCGGCGUGCUUAACACAUGCAAGUCGAACGGAAAGGCCCUGCUUGCAGGGUACUCGAGUGGCGAACGGGUGAGUAACACGUGGGUGAUCUGCCCUGCACUUCGGGAUAAGCCUGGGAAACUGGGUCUAAUACCGGAUAGGAGCCAUUUUUAGUGUGAUGGUUGGAAAGUUUUUUCGGUGUAGGAUGAGCUCGCGGCCUAUCAGCUUGUUGGUGGGGUAAUGGCCUACCAAGGCGGCGACGGGUAGCCGGCCUGAGAGGGUGGACGGCCACAGUGGGACUGAGAUACGGCCCAGACUCCUACGGGAGGCAGCAGGGGGGAAUAUUGCACAAUGGGCGCAAGCCUGAUGCAGCGACGCCGCGUGGGGGAUGACGGCCUUCGGGUUGUAAACUCCUUUCGCUAGGGACGAAGCUUUUUGUGACGGUACCUAGAGAAGAAGCACCGGCUAACUACGUG